AUAAUUCCGCCCUCUUAAAAAAUGACCUGAAAGCAGCUUUCUUAAAAGAAAAGACAAAGCAUCAUCUGACCAUCUAGGUAUGAGCACCAGGAUAUAUGAAGAUUUUCUGUGGAUUCCAGUUGCUAUUUUGUUGUCUUUCUUUAUGGUUGUGUCCAGGUGGUUCGCUUGGUGCUUGCUCUGUUGGUUGUGCUUGAAGAUGCAUAAACACCCACUGGCACAACCACCUAGAGUCGACAAAAACAAUGCACCUAUGUAUAACCUUGAGCGUGUCUUGGCUAAGAGAUGCAACAACAUCCUAGCCAAUGAUGAUAGUGCUUGCUUGAUCACUUCAACAAUGAACACCUUAUUGAAAAUAUAGCAUCUAGAAUUGCACCAGCACAACACGAUGACAUAUGACUAUUAAAGUUUAUACCCAUCCAUAAACCUAGAGCCCGUCUGCCUAUUGUUUUAUAUGUUCCUUCUUAAUAAUGUUGAAGACCUGAAUGUAUUAGCACCUAUCCUCAGAAACGUAGCAUAUCUGAUUUGCCAUCGUUCUUAUUUCAGGUUAAGAGGACAUUACUUUAGGCAGACCAGAGAGAUACCCAUUGGCAGAAAUUGUACUCAGGGAGGUCAAAAUGCCGGUCAUAGCUACACUGCAACCUAAACUGAAUUUUUACAUCAGAUAUGUAGACAACCUUUUUGUCAUAUGGAAAGGAGAUCCAGACACCAUUAACCUUAUUAAUGCUUUGAUGCUACCAGCUUAUGGCAUAAAACGGAAGUAUGACCAACAGAGCAAGCACCAAGUGAGCUGCCUGGACAUAACCAUAAAGAGAGAUGAUAACAGAAUGGCAACUCUACAGAAGACCUACAAUAUGCCCCAAGGCUCAUACGUAGAUGGUCAGAUGACCUGUUCACAUAAAAUGAAGCACUAGCACGGCAGGCACAUAGACGUUAAGGAACUUUGAUGCUGGUGCUUUCGACUCUGAUGCGUCAUUGUAGGGCAUACUUACU
rnacentral:lncRNA from 1 species